UACAGAGGCCCCAAGCAUUAUCCGGAAUCACUGGGCGUAAAGGGUGUCGAGGCGGUCAUAUUAGUAGUUCGUAAAAUCCGUGAGCUUAACUUACGGUCCGCGAGCGAAACGGUAUGACUUGAGGUUUGGAGAGGUGCGUGGAACUCACGGUGUAGGGGUGAAAUCCGUUGAUAUCGUGGGGAACACCAAAGGCGAAGGCAGCGCACUGGCCAAAUUCUGACGCUCACACACGAAAGCUAGGGUAGCGAACGGG
rnacentral:rRNA from 1 species